UACGUAGGGGGCUAGCGUUGUCCGGAAUCAUUGGGCGUAAAGAGCGUGUAGGCGGUCCGGUAAGUCCGUUGUGAAAGUCAGGGGCUCAACCCUUGAAUGCCGGCGGAUACUGUCGGGCUCGAGUCCGGAAGAGGCGAGUGGAAUUCCUGGUGUAGCGGUGAAAUGCGCAGAUAUCAGGAGGAACACCGAUGGCGAAGGCAGCUCGCUGGGACGGUACUGACGCUGAGACGCGAAAGCGUGGGGAGCAAACAGG
rnacentral:rRNA from 1 species